CACAUCUCAGACACAUUACGUCCUCUGCUAAGUCUGGAGUAGGAGAAGGAACAAGAGAGUCUCAUCUCUCUGCCUUCACAGAGUCGAAGACACUUGUUGAAAGCAGAACCUGUUGCUGGCAAAUGUGUGAGAGGAGAAGAGGCUUAGCGGGACUCCGGCAUGGUGGGAGGCUGACAAACCAUCGUGAAAACCAUUUGUAAUGUGUGGGGCCUCGGAAGCAAAAAGAAGAGACAGCCAACAGCCCUGAGGAAGUGCAAGAGGAGAAGCUGCACAUGGGUUCCCGGUCCACAGAGAUGAAUCCAGGAUAUGUUGAACAAAAAGAAGAGCUGAAAUGGCAACUUCCCAGGCUGGCUAGAGGCUACAGCAAGUGGGUUAAUGUGUUCUGAGUCACAAUCCCCCCUGCUAAUUAAUCAACAAUUUGGCAAAUGUUUACUACAGCACCCUCGGUGCUUCUGCACACAUCUCCCUGGCACAACGAGCGCCACUUGGACACGGCCAAUUUACCUGGCUUCAGGGCUGGCUCACCUGGUGCUCAGCAACCUGCGCUGUCCUACAAGAAAUGCCUGCAGCCUCCGUUCCUUCUGCCCGGCAGAUCUGGCACCACGGCCCCUCGGGGGUGCUGGCAUGGGGGGUGAUGGCAGCUGCUCUGGAGGGGGAUCUGAAGAGUAGCGAUGUGUGCUGUACGUGCUCUGUAUUUGCACCUGUCCCUGUGGAAAGACUGCUUCUCACCUGAGAUCCACACUGUGAGCCCUUCCUUCAUUCUCCAUUCUCUUUAGUUUUUGAGGAUGAUUUCAAGUGACUUACUUUUCCACUUUCUAACAAGCAAUUUAAAUGCUAAAGGGCAGCUCCUCUGCUGAAGGCAACUGAAGCCAAGAGAACUGUGACAGUUUAUGCCAGCUGAAGCGUUGCCUUUAAGUAAAUGUUUUAAACUUUCCACUAAGGAGACUAAAAUAAGCCAUAGCAUGAAACAUUAAGAGCAAAGAAUGAACUCUGGAGACCAGAGGGAUUUGGGAAAUGAAAUGAGAUCCAUCUUACUGGCACAUUUUUCCCCUCCUGUCUAUUUUUGGAAUUUAAAAAAUUCCCCCAGAUUCGUCUUCGACAGACCAGCUUUUUGUUCAGAGACCAGCAGUGAGCAGCCUCCCCUUUCACACAGAGCAGGUGAGCUUUGGCACGCCAACAUACAAAAUACAGACCUGGAAACUAUUAAUAUCUUUUACUGCUGGAACAUGGCAGGGCCUGGCACAGGUGCUAUUUGUUUUCUUUAACAGGCUUUUCAGCUAUGCAACUUGCAACCAAAUACUAGAUGAACAAGAAGAUUUCAAGUUAGUGAGCAAGCCGUGAUCAACCCAGCUCUUCUCCAGAAUGCUGUGACACCUACCGUGACCGGGUGGAUUUUACUUCGGGCGUUAAAUCAUGGGUUUGACUGCGUGGCUGGGGUAGUUGUGUUUACAGGGUGGAGUGGAAGGCAGCCUGGUCCUGCUCAUUGGACUCUGGACAGACUCAGGAAACCUGGGCUCCAGCUCCUGGCCGUGGUAUUAACUCUCAGUGGGACCUCAGCAAGUCACUUCAAGCUCAGCUCUCCAGUUGGCUUGCAACCCACAUUUUCCACUGACUUUAAAUGGGGCAAGGGAUCUUUGUUGCCUAUGAAAACCGAGCCUCCAAACACUUCAGUAUCCCCAUGUCUAAAACAAGGAGGAGAAUAUUUUGAGAUCAAUGGAUAAGAACACCUGCAUGCGCUAAUACCUACGCACCCUGCCAAGAUAUUGGGAGAUUAAGCAAAUAUUUUGAAGGGCUGUAGGAUCUUAUGAGGCGGGUAUGGGGCUGUUUAGUUUGUCCAGGACAUAUUUUUCCCUCCUUUUAUUUUUUUUUUCCACAAAUGGGGAGAUUUCAGGCAGAGAAAAGAAGAAGCAUAUCCUUUACAGGUUUGGUUUCAGCCAUGCUGAUCUGCUUUGUGAAAACUAAACUAAGAACACCUGCACAACCCCUUCUGAGACACAGCAGAGGGACUCUGAACUGAGGAGGAGCACAUCUGAUGGUGCCCUAAGAUUUGGCUUGAAUAUCUCCAAAUGGAACAUAGCUGAAAAAGCAAAUCAUUUAGGGAAUGCUCUGUCUGGGUAUCACAGACCACAACUCCAAACAGGAUGUAAUGAAGCUGAUAAGAGCUCAGACAAGAUUUGCUCUGUAGUGGGAGACUUGAUCCAUACAGUGUGAAAGCUAGGUCCAGUUUGGGGCGGCGCAUUUCAAGGAAGAUAAUAGACUCAGUGGAGCGUGCGCAGAGAAUGAAAUGAACGAUAAAAAGGUUUUGAAAACAUGACCUGUAUGGAAAGGUGGAAGGAAGUGACUUUGUUUAGUCUAGAAGAGAGAAGAAUGAGUGGAACAUGAUAAUGGUUUUCCAAUAUUUGCAAAGGGGACAGCGACUGCUGUCCAGAAUUCCGGAAGGGCACGAAGAAAUCAGUUUAAUUUAUAGCAAGGAAGUUUAAGACAAGACUGUAGGAAAAGCCACAUAAAUAGAAAAUGCUCAGACAAGCUACCUAUGGAAAUGUACAUCAUGGGAAGUUUUUAGGGACUGGACUGUAGCAAUUCAUAUGCAAAGCCAGGUACUUCAUAAAUCAAACAAUGGUGUUUGCAGAUGCAAAGACAUAAGAUCGUGCCAAGUAUGGGCAGACUGAUUUACACAAAACAGAUCUGAAAGUCACCCAGGUGUGACAACACUGAAUACAAGUUGAAUCAUUCCAAUUAAAUAAAUAUAACUGGUGUGGAGAUAGCAAACAGCAUUACUGUCUUCAAAAUUGCUUUCAGACCUCAUCUCUAUAGCAUAAUGCAUUCCUUAAAAAUCACUAAUGACAAAGGAAAUUACAAAGAAGGGUGACUGUGGUACUGACCUCAACAGUAGAGUGCUACAGCACCUGGAAGGCUUUCAAAUCCAGCACAUCACAGAAUAAAUAAGUCACUACAUUGUCUGACUCA